UACGUAGGGUGCAAGCGUUGUCCGGAAUUAUUGGGCGUAAAGAGCUCGUAGGCGGUUUGUCGCGUCUGCUGUGAAAACUCGGGGCUUAACUCCGGGCCUGCAGUGGGUACGGUCAGACUAGAGUGCGGUAGGGGAGACUGGAAUUCCUGGUGGAGCGGUGAAAUGCGCAGAGAUCAGGAGGAACACCCGUAGCGAAGGCGGCACUCUGGGCCGAUACUGACACUGAGGAGCGAAAGCAUGGGGAGCGAACAGG
rnacentral:rRNA from 1 species